GGAUUGUAAAGCAACUUUCAGUCGUGAGGAAAGGUAGGUGUAGUUAUAAGCUGCUUUUAUUUGUCGUUAGCGACAGAAAGAAGCACCGGGCUAACUUCGUGCCCAGCAGGCCGCGGUAAUACGGAGGGGUGCGAGCGUUAAUCGGAAUUACUGGGCGUAAAGCGCAUGCAGGUGGUUUUGUUAAGUCAGAUGUGAAAGCCCGGGGGCUCCAACCUCGGAAUAGCAUUUGAAACUGGCAGACUAGAGUACUGUAGAGGGGGGGUAGAAUUUCAGGUGUAGCGGUGAAAUGCGUAGAGAUCUGAAGGAAUACCGGUGGCGAAGGCGGCCCCCUGGACAGAUACUGACACUCAGAUGCGAAAGCGUGGGGAGCAAACAGGAUUAGAUACCCUGGUAGUCCACGCCGUAAACGAUGUCUACUUGGAGGUUGUGGCCUUGAGCCGUGGCUUUCGGAGCUAACGCGUUAAGUAGACCGCCUGGGGAGUACGGUCGCAAGAUUAAAACUCAAAUGAAUUGACGGGGGCCCGCACAAGCGGUGGAGCAUGUGGUUUAAUUCGAUGCAACGCGAAGAACCUUACCUACUCUUGACAUCCAGAGAACUUUCCAGAGAUGGAUUGGUGCCUUCGGGAACUCUGAGACAGGUGCUGCAUGGCUGUCGUCAGCUCGUGUUGUGAAAUGUUGGGUUAAGUCCCGCAACGAGCGCAACCCUUAUCCUUGUUUGCCAGCGAGUAAUGUCGGGAACUCCAGGGAGACUGCCGGUGAUAAACCGGAGGAAGGUGGGGACGACGUCAAGUCAUCAUGGCCCUUACGAGUAGGGCUACACACGUGCUACAAUGGCGCAUACAGAGGGCGGCCAACUUGCGAAAGUGAGCGAAUCCCAAAAAGUGCGUCGUAGUCCGGAUUGGAGUCUGCAACUCGACUCCAUGAAGUCGGAAUCGCUAGUAAUCGUGGAUCAGAAUGCCGGCGGUGAAUACGUUCCCGGGCCUUUGUACCACCAACCCCU
rnacentral:rRNA from 1 species